AUACGGAGGGGGUUAGCGUUGUUUGGAAUUACUGGGCGUAAAGCGCACGUAGGCGGAUUGGAAAGUUGGGGGUGAAAUCCCAGGGCUCAACCCUGGAACUGCCUCCAAAACUAACAGUCUAGAGUUCGAGAGAGGUGAGUGGAAUUCCAAGUGUAGAGGUGAAAUUCGUAGAUAUUUGGAGGAACACCAGUGGCGAAGGCGGCUCACUGGCUCGAUACUGACGCUGAGGUGCGAAAGCGUGGGGAGCAAACAGGAUUAGAAACCCCAGUAGUCC
rnacentral:rRNA from 1 species